rnacentral:misc_RNA from 1 species
GAUGAAGAACGUAGCGAAAUGCGAUAAGUAAUGUGAAUUGCAGAAUUCAGUGAAUCAUCGAAUCUUUGAACGCACAUUGCGCCCGCCAGUAUUCUGGCGGGCAUGCCUGUCCGAGCGUCAUUUCAACCAUCAAGCCCCCGGGCUUGUGUUGGGGACCUGCGGCUGCCCGCAGGCCCUGAAAACCAGUGGCGGGCUCGCUGUCACACCGAGCGUAGUAGCAAUCACCUCGCUCAGGGCGUGCUGCGGGUUCCGGCCGUUAAACAGCCUUACAAAACCCAAGGUUGACCUCGGAUCAGGUAGGAAGACCCGCUGAACUUAAGCAUAUCAAUAAGCGGAGGA